GACGAACGCUGGCGGCGUGCUUAACACAUGCAAGUCGAACGGAAAGGCCCUGCUUUUGUGGGGUGCUCGAGUGGCGAACGGGUGAGUAACACGUGAGUAACCUGCCCUUGACUUUGGGAUAACUUCAGGAAACUGGGGCUAAUACCGGAUAGGAGCUCCUGCUGCAUGGUGGGGGUUGGAAAGUUUCGGCGGUUGGGGAUGGACUGGCGGCUUAUCAGCUUGUUGGUGGGGUAGUGGCUUACCAAGGCUUUGACGGGUAGCCGGCCUGAGAGGGUGACCGGCCACAUUGGGACUGAGAUACGGACCAGACUCCUACGGGGGGCAGCAGGGGGGAAUAUUGCACAAUGGGCGGAAGCGGGAUGCAGCAACGCCGCGUGCGGGAUGACGGCCUUCGGGUUGUGAACCGCUUUCGCCUGUGACGAAGCGUGAGUGACGGUAAUGAGUAAAGAAGCACCGGCUAACUACGUG
rnacentral:rRNA from 1 species